CUGGGCAUGUCCCAGACUCACUGAGGUGGCAGGCUGUGUCUGUGGGCCAGAGAAGGCAAGCAGGAGGUGGGGCUGAGACUGGCAGGAGGCUGACCUGGCUUACAGUGCGGGCAGCAUGCUCCUGGCUCAGGGCAGGGUCCUCUUGGGCAUGGCUUCUGGUUGCAAGUGAUGGUACCUUCCUGUGGGAGCAGACUGAGGUGGCUGCACAGACAUCAGAUUCCUGGAGGGCAGGGCCUCUGGAAGUAAAACCUCAGCCCAGGCUGGGACAUGUCAUAGGGGCAAGAGGAUGAGUUGGCUCUGUGGAUGUGGGCUACCCUCUGUGUAAAGGCAGAAAAGAGACAUCCCGCCCCCACUCCCAUCGUCUCCUGAUGCUCUUAACCCUAGGAAACCAUCUCUUCCAGGUGCCAGCACAUUCCCCAGAGAGGGGAGAUCCUAGGAAGAAGACCGAAGACUUUCUCAGGGAGGAAGGAGGAAGGAAAGACUGGGGGAAGGUGGAUGUGGCAACUGGUGAGGGAGAAUAGGCAGGCCAGGGGGUUCCGAAGUAGAAGAUGGGCAGUGGAAGAGUGGGAGGUGAUAUAGGAGGACAAGCAACUAUUAAGUUGGUGCAAAAGUAAUUGCGGUUUUUGCCAUUAAAAGUCAUGUCAAAAACCGCAAUUACUUUUGCACCAACCUAAUACAUUCUCUGCCCUCCAUGCCACUGUUGGCCAGGUCUGAAUUGAGUGGCUUGGGGACCCCCCAGUGUCCGUGGGCAUUGAGCUCCUUUUCCUACUCGGAAUCAACUGAAAGCCACCGUGGCAAGGUGUGGGAGUGGCAGGCAGAGCCCAUUAUGCGACAUCUUGAGUGCCACGCUGCAGUGACAGGUAGCUGGAGAGAGGCAGACAGGUGAGGGAUAUCCAGGUAGGUCCUGGGAGCUUACCAGACAGCGGCAGGUGGUGCAGGCAUCUGGGGAGAAGGUCUCCCCGUUGCCGUAGGUCUGGCCAUUUUGGCUGCAGCCUAAGGAGACAGCAGUGUCACUCAAGCACCCCAUGCCAUCUGCAGGUCUU
rnacentral:lncRNA from 10 species